rnacentral:lncRNA from 1 species
CAUUUUUUAUAUAUUUUGAUUUUUUUUAUCCUUUCGGUAUUUUCUUUAUUUUUCGUUUGCUUUUUUAUUUAUUGUUUUUCUUUUGCAUUUUUUUAUAUGUUUUUGUGAAAAAUGUAAUACUUUUAAAAUAUUACAUUUCUUCAUAACAAUAAUUACUUUUUUUACGACAAUAAUUACUUGAUGAAAUAACUAAAAGUAUAAGUUCUCGUGAACAAAUGUUUCAAAAUUAUUACAUUUGUUUAUGAUAAUUGUUACUUAUAUUUAUUA